UACGGAGGGGGCGAGCGUUAUUCGGAAUCAUUGGGCGUAAAGGGCGCGUAGGCGGAGUUCUAAGUACCUUGUGAAAUCCCACGGCUUAACCGUGGAACUGCUUGGUAUACUGGUUCUCUUGGGCCAUCUAGGGGCUACUGGAACAAACGGUGGAGCGGUGAAAUGCGUAGAUAUCGUUUGGAACGCCAAUGGUGAAAACAAGUAGCUGGGGAUGUGCCGACGCUGAGACACGAAAGCCAGGGGAGCGAACGGG
rnacentral:rRNA from 1 species